rnacentral:rRNA from 1 species
AGUGAACGCUGGCGGUAGGCCUAACACAUGCAAGUCGAACGGCAGCACAGUAAGAGCUUGCUCUUACGGGUGGCGAGUGGCGGACGGGUGAGGAAUACAUCGGAAUCUACUUUUUCGUGGGGGAUAACGUAGGGAAACUUACGCUAAUACCGCAUACGACCUACGGGUGAAAGCAGGGGAUCUUCGGACCUUGCGCGAUUGAAUGAGCCGAUGUCGGAUUUGCUAGUUGGCGGGGUAACGGCCCACCAAGGCGACGAUCCGUAGCUGGUCUGAGAGGAUGGUCAGCCACACUGGAACUGAGACACGGUCCAGACUCCUACGGGAGGCAGCAGUGGGGAAUAUUGGACAAUGGGCGCAAGCCUGAUCCAGCCAUACCGCGUGGGUGAAGAAGGCCUUCGGGUUGUAAAGCCCUUUUGUUGGGAAAGAAAAGCAGCAGGUUAAUACCCCGCUGUUCUGACGGUACCCAAAGAAUAAGCACCGGCUAACUUCGUG